UAACAGUGGCUGCAACCUUUUAAUGAGGGGU
rnacentral:piRNA from 1 species